GGUGGGGUUCCCGAGUGGCCAAAGGGAUCAGACUGUAAAUCUGACGCGCAAGCUUCGGUGGUUCGAAUCCACCCCUCACCA
rnacentral:tRNA from 1 species